GGAGGGUGCAAGCGUUGUCCGGAUUUACUGGGUUUAAAGGGUGCGUAGGCGGAUGGUUAAGUCAGUGGUGAAAGCCUGCGGCUUAACCGCAGGAGUGCCAUUGAUACUGGCCAUCUUGAGUGCAGUGGAGGUAGGCGGAAUUUAUGGUGUAGCGGUGAAAUGCAUAGAUACCAUAAAGAACACCCAUAGCGAAGGCAGCUUACUACGCUGUAACUGACGCUGAGGCACGAAAGCGUGGGGAUCAAACAGGAUUAGAUACCCUGGUAGUCCACGCUGUAAACGAUGAAGACUCGCUGUUGGCGAUACACUGCCAGCGGCCAAGUAAAAGCGUUAAGUCUUCCACCUGGGGAGUACGAUCGCAAGAUUG
rnacentral:rRNA from 1 species